AUUGUGAACUGGUGGAUAAAGGCAGGAUUGGUAAAGAAAUUUUUUUUGGCCGAAUAAUUCUCAAGUUGCGAAUCAAUUAAGAGGUUUUUCCCAAAAAAAAAACAAUAAUUAAUUAUUUGUGUCGGAAACUUUGGACGGAAACUUUUAAGCCGCUUAAUUUGACUCUCCACAUUCGAAGUGAUCGAAGAACUAAAUUAUAGAGUGGCGGAGAAAGUGGGCACACACCAAUAAAUUUAUAAACGUUAAUUGGGAAAAUAUUUUUUGUAAAGUGGCUAAACCCUCUAUAUAUUCUAAAAACUGUUUCCAAAGCUCUUAUUUUUUUUAUUGUAUGACAACUUUUUUUGUACCUACUUACCACAUAUUGACGAAUGCAGUGUUGAGCUUAAGUUGGUGAUGGUGUCUUUUAAUUCUUGAUGAUAUUUCGUAAAAAGCGUAUCAUCUGAAAUAAAUAAACGUUCGUUUCCUGGUGUUUGGGUGCUUCACACAAAUGUUGGCACUUACAGUGUUUAUCUUUGUAUAUUCUGGAAAUACUGGCAUCAUCCACACUCGCGCCCAACAGCGAAGAGACUAAAUUUUCGAUAAAAUCCCGCACGAGCAUUUUUUCGCGCUUCCGCGUGAGAUCAAAUUUUUCGUCCAUAUUUUCGCUCCGCCUGGAUACCGCAGUAUCCGCCAAAACGCCUUUGUUAUGAUUACGUAAAGGAAGAGACUGGAGAAUGGCUUGCAUCCAGGACGGCCUUUUCAGGCAUGCAUAACACGUCCAACCCUUCCGACGACAGUCGUACUUGGAACAACGCUGCUUGCAAACCCUUUCUUCGCACCCUACACAUAUCACUAUUUUUACGUCUUCGGUUAAGUGCGAACGAAGGUAGCUCCCACAUACAGCGCAGUGCCACUGCAAGGCUGGACUACGGCUCCUGGAAGAGGGUUUCAACGCCAAAAUUGAUAUCGGUUUUACGAAAAUGUGGAUGCAUUACGUUUUUUCUUUAAAAUAAGGGGCAAGUAGCACAAAAUCUGGAACAUUGCCUAAUCAGCGGCCACUUUUUUUGUUGACUGACACUUUCAACCGGAUUCACGGUUUAAAAUCUGAGUACCACUCAUCCGGAAAUAUAUGUACCAUAUUAGUGCGCUAACUGUCGAUGGCACUUUAAAGGCAGAAUCGAUUCAUGCGAGUGAUGCGUCACAUAAAUUCGUACCAAAAUAGUAUAAGUAGAGUCAUUGUACUCGUGUAUAAAGUGAACGUUAUUGCUAAAAGGAGUACGCAAAGAAAGUGUUACCUAUCAUUGGUUUACAAAUUUUAAGCACCAAGUUUUCUAAUUCUGCAACUGCUGUGAUAAAAGCGAAAAAUUGUUUUAAAAAAAUAUUAGUUUAAUAUUCUAGGUAAGAUACUGGAUUUUGUCAAGUGAUAACGAUUAACAUUAACUGCUGGCUUACUUGACCCAGUUAAGAGCAUUCAUUACCUAUCUCUUACGAUUGAACAAAUAAUUACCUUCAGAUUAGAAAUGAAUAAUUGAUUUGAAAAUAAAAUAAAGAAAAAUGCGGGGAAAACUACGUUCUUUAUUUGAAAAAAAAAAUGCAUUUAGUUAGAUCGAGUAAAAUUAUUUCAUAAAACACGUGGAGUUGGCUAGGAAUUAUUACGAUUUGGCGAUAAUUUACUAAUAGGUUUUAAACUCUUACCUUUGUGACUUGCUCCCUUGUAUUAAUAUGUAGCAAACUCCGGACAAAACACCCGCCACCACACUUACUCCAAUUCCAGCCGUUACCACAAUUGUCACAACAUCUGAUGGCAUUUUUUCAAAUUUUUCGUUUUUUUUUUUAAUAUUUUUUAACGCACUAAACUACAACUCAAAUACGUUUCGCCGUAAGACAUGUAUUUACAUUUUUCUACCUGUAAUGAAGAUGAUCACGAGAUUUCUAAUGAAAUUUAACAACACCUUUUAGUGACGUAAAUAUCUACCUAGCUUGACCUUGCCAAGAUAAAUACAUUUUUAGAAGCGGAAUUUUACUUGGGUAUAACCACCUGUUAAGAAAUAGCCAUCAAGGAGCAGAGCAGCGUAUUUGCUUGGCCUGGUUCUCGAUGAUUUAAGAUUUGUUUGUAAUGGUGCUACGAUCUUGUCAUAAUAUUGCACUUGAAGGCUUCGGUGUAAGUUUUUGAGUUAAAAAUGUCUUUCUGACUGUUUUUUAAUUUUUUAUUAAAUAAAUGUGGAGUAAGAGGUGUCUUUGGGUACCCCUAACUAGUGGAUCUAGAAACCAUCUGAAAGCAGAGAUUUGGAUUCCGCAGUUGAAGUGAUUAGAAAUUAGAAGAGAAGCAUGAAAAAAUCAGAGGAAAGACUAAAAAAAUAAGUUAAAGGAGUAAAAAAAGGGAGAAAUUGUAAACACCAAAAAACUGAUGAAAAAAAGUUU